UACGAAGGGGGGCUAGCGUUGUUCGGAAUUACUGGGCGUAAAGGGCGCGUAGGCGGUCCUGAUCGUCGGAUGUGAAAGGCCUGGGCUCAACCUGGGAAUGGCAUCCGAUACGGCGGGACUGGAGUGUGGGAGAGGUUGGUGGAAUUCCCAGUGUAGAGGUGAAAUUCGUAGAUAUUGGGAAGAACACCGGUGGCGAAGGCGGCCAACUGGACCACAACUGACGCUGAGGCGCGAAAGCGUGGGGAGCGAACAGG
rnacentral:rRNA from 1 species